rfam:Triticum aestivum genome assembly, contig: Triticum_aestivum_CS42_TGACv1_scaffold_148279_2BS
UUUCUACUCCCUUCGUCCGAAAAUACUUGUCAUCAAAAUGGAUAAAAAGAGAUGUAUCUAAAACUAAAAUACGUCUAGAUACAUUUCCUUUUAUCCAUUUUGAUGACAAGUAUUUCCGGACGGAGGGAGUAUUUG